rnacentral:rRNA from 1 species
AGAGUUUGAUCCUGGCUCAGAUUGAACGCUCGCGGAAUGCUUUACACAUGCAAGUCGAACGGCAGCACGGGGGCAACCCUGGUGGCGAGUGGCGAACGGGUGAGUAAUACAUCGGAACGUGCCCAGUCGUGGGGGAUAACGUAGCGAAAGCUACGCUAAUACCGCAUACGAACUCUGGUUGAAAGCGGGGGAUCGCAAGACCUCGCGCGAUUGGAGCGGCCGAUGGCAGAUUAGGUAGUUGGUGGGGUAAAGGCUCACCAAGCCGCCGAUCUGUAGCUGGUCUGAGAGGACGACCAGCCACACUGGGACUGAGACACGGCCCAGACUCCUACGGGAGGCAGCAGUGGGGAAUUUUGGACAAUGGGCGCAAGCCUGAUCCAGCCAUUCCGCGUGCAGGAUGAAGGCCCUCGGGUUGUAAACUGCUUUUGUACGGAACGAAAAGGCCUGGGUUAAUACCUCGGGCUCAUGACGUACCG